GGGGUGCUCGAGUGGCGAACGGGUGAGUAACACGUGAGUAACCUGCCCUUGACUUUGGGAUAACUUCAGGAAACUGGGGCUAAUACCGGAUAGGAGCUCCUGCUGCAUGGUGGGGGUUGGAAAGUUUCGGCGGUUGGGGAUGGACUCGCGGCUUAUCAGCUUGUUGGUGGGGUAGUGGCUUACCAAGGCUUUGACCGGGUAGCCGGCCUGAGAGGGUGACCGGCCACAUUGGGACUGAGAUACGGCCCAG
rnacentral:rRNA from 1 species